GACGAACGCUGGCGGCGUGCUUAACACAUGCAAGUCGAACGGUGAAGCUCCAGCUUGCUGGUGUGGAUCAGUGGCGAACGGGUGAGUAAAACGUGAGCAACCUGCCCCUGACUCUGGAAUAAGCGCUGGAAACGGCGUCUAAUACUGGAUACGAGAAGGGUCCGCAUGGGCACUUUCUGGAAAGUUUUUCGGUUGGGGAUGGGCUCGCGGCCUAUCAGCUUGUUGGUGAGGUAAUGGCUCAACAAGGCGACGACGGGUAGCCGGCCUGAGAGGGCGACCGGCCACACUGGGACUGAGACACGGCCCAGACUCCUACGGGAGGCAGCAGUGGGGAAUAUUGCACAAUGGGCGAAAGCCUGAUGCAGCGACGCCGCGUGAGGGAUGACGUCCUUCGGGUUGUAAACCUCUUUCAGCAGGGAAGAAGCGAAAGUGACGGUACCUGCAGAAGAAGCACCGGCUAACUACGUG
rnacentral:rRNA from 1 species